UGUCACCAGGGUCCUGGACUGGUCUACAGGCUCAUCAAGAGUCUGUUUGAAGAAGUCAGGAUGGAUAAGCCAAGGUGUGAGUUAAUGAGGCCUGUGUUGGGGGUGGGUGUGGACAGUGGCCCAGGCAGAAGUGAAUGCCCAGUGCUGGAGGGGGCCCAUCUCCAGUGAGGUCGGUACCAAGGCCAGCCUGUCCAGGAAGUCAGGGAAGGAAGAGGGAGUGCCAUGAGAGGCAGCCAGAGAGGCAGGCAGGGGUCAGAUGGGCAGGGCCUGGGGGCUCCAGCCAGGGGUCUGGUCUUUAUCAGGAAAGCAACAUGAAGGGUUUUAAGUGUGUAUUGAGGGAAGAGGGGUGGGCAUGUCAGACUUAUUCUAAAAGAGCACCCAGAUGUCCAGGGAAUGGGAUGUGGUUGUACAGGAGAAAGGCAGCAGGUAAGUGUCGCUUGUACACAGGCAGGGGGACUGCAUUAGUUCCCCUGCAGCGUAUUUGAUGAGAUGUGGCUGAGGAUUUGGAAAGCAGAUGGGGAGUGGGAGGCAAGGCCAGCCUUCUGCUUCCUGUCCUGUCCCUGACACAGGUCAAGUUCUCUUCUUUCUCCUCCCUCCCUCCCCUCUGGGAAAACCCAACAGACUGGUACUGGGCCCAGUUCUCAAGGGGUGGGGACAGAAGCAGACGCCAAGGGACACCCACAGGGUCAAUGUGGGAACACAGGAUGUAGAAAUGAUGGAAUGGAGGCCAGAAGGGCUGUCUUAAGGGACUGACAGCAGUGGGCAUGGUAGGGGGCAUAGGAGUGCAGAGACGCCGCUGGGUGCACUCCCCGGGGUGGUCAGUGCAGAACUUCACUUCCCUUGAGGAGGCCCUGGUAAAAAGAACGCUGAUUCAGCAAGUCUGGGGCAUGAGCAGGGAAUCCCUAUUUUUAAGAAGCCCUCUCCUCCCCUACCAAGGUUAUUGUGACCUAGGUGGUCCCACGACCUUCCUUUUGAGAAUGCCUCAACGCUGCCCGGCUGCCUGGCCUUAUAUCCUCAGGCCGCUCAGCUGUCUCUCACCAUCUUGGCCCUGUAUUAAGACGUGGAUAAGCACAUCCCGUCUGAUAGACCAGAGGCGGCGGGGCUGUCGGGUGGGCCGCACAGCAUCGCGAGGCCGCCAGGGGUCGCCAGAGGCCUCGGCUCGCGCUCCAGGGCUCCUCCGCCCGCGGACGCCGCGCCCGAGCCAGCGAGCGGAGCCAGAGCGCUGCGGGCUCACAAAGCGGCCGGACGCGCGGCGGCGGGUGGCGGGAGCGCAGGGGAGCGAGCCGACCGAUCAGCCCUCUCCGCGACCGCGCCACAGGAGCUCGAGCAACUCGGACGCGGGGACCCAGGCCGGCCCCCAAGAUGCCAGCGAUCGCGGUGCUCGCGGCGGCCGCCGCGGCGUGGUGCUUCCUCCAGGUCGAGAGCCGGCACCUGGACGCACUCGCUGGAGGCGCGGGCCCCAACAACGGCAAUUUCCUAGACAAUGACCAGUGGCUGAGCACCGUUUCCCAGUACGACCGGGACAAGUACUGGAACCGCUUUCGAGAC
rnacentral:lncRNA from 1 species